GACAGAGGGGGCAAGCGUUGCUCGGAAUCACUGGGCGUAAAGGGCGCGUAGGCGGGAUGGCAAGUCAGUCGUGAAAUCUCUCGGCUCAACCGAGAAACGUCGGCUGAUACUGCCGUUCUUGAGGGAUGCAGAGGAGACUGGAAUUCCCGGUGUAGCGGUGAAAUGUGUAGAGAUCGGGAGGAACACCGGUGGCGAAGGCGGGUCUCUGGGCAUCUCCUGACGCUGAGGCGCGAAAGCGUGGGGAGCAAACAGG
rnacentral:rRNA from 1 species